rnacentral:rRNA from 1 species
UGCAAGUCGCACGGGCAGUAGCAAUAUUGUCAGUGGCGGACGGGUGAGUAACGCGUAGGAAUCUAUCCUUGGAUGGGGGACAACCGUGGGAAACUACGGCUAAUACCGCAUAAUGCCUGAGGGCCAAAGACGUAAGUCGUCUGGGGAGGAGCCUGCGUCUGAUUAGGUAGUUGGUGGGGUAAAGGCCUACCAAGCCUGCGAUCAGUAGCUGGUCUGAGAGGAUGAUCAGCCACAUUGGGACUGAGACACGGCCCAAACUCCUACGGGAGGCAGCAGUGGGGAAUAUUGGACAAUGGGGGCAACCCUGAUCCAGCAAUGCCGCGUGGGUGAAGAAGGUUUUCGGAUUGUAAAGCCCUUUUGGCGGGGACGAUGAUGACGGUACCCGCAGAAUAAGCUCCGGCUAACUUCGUGCCAGCAGCCGCGGUAAUACGAAGGGGGCUAGCGUUGCUCGGAAUGACUGGGCGUAAAGGGCGCGUAGGCGGCUUACAUAGUUAGGCGUGAAAUUCCUGGGCUCAACCUGGGGACUGCGUCUAAUACAUGUAGGCUUGAGUGUGAAAGAGGGUCGUGGAAUUUCCAGUGUAGAGGUGAAAUUCGUAGAUAUUGGAAAGAACACCGGUGGCGAAAGCGGCGACCUGGUUCAUUACUGACGCUGAGGCGCGAAAGCGUGGGGAGCAAACAGGAUUAAAUACCCUGGUAGUCCACGCUGUAAACGAUGUUGUGCUGGAUGUUGGGGUGCUUAGCACUUCAGUGUCGUAGCUAACGCGUAAGCACACCGCUAGAGUACGCGCAGUGAAACUCA